rnacentral:rRNA from 1 species
UUAAUWRAAACUAGCAUGAACGGUUUAAUUAAUUUAAUUAGUUUGUAAAUUUUAAUAGUAAAUUAAAUAUAAAGUAAUAAUUCUUUAAUACAUUAGGGGACGAUAAGACCCUAAAAGCUUUAUGAAAAGUAUUUAAUUGGUGUUAGUGGUAAUAUUAAUUCACUGGGGCAGUGAAUUUAUUUGUAUUAAAAAAAAAUUAAGGGGUCCUUUAAAUAAAGAUUUUAUGUGUAAGUUACUUUAGGGAUAACAGUGCAAUAUAUUUGGGGAGACCAUAUCUAUAAAUAUGAUUGCAACCUCGAUGUUGAAUUAGAGUUUCUACAUGGGCAGAAUAUGUGUGAGAAAGUUUGUUCAACUUUUGAAUCUCUAUAUGNUMUGAGUUCAAACCGG